ACCUUAGCGCUACAAUCGCUUUGUGAAACGGGGCCCAGGACUCUUCCUCAGACAAUUCCCAGGAUUUCUUUGAGAAUGCCCGCGAAACUGUACCCACCUGGGGAAUCGAACCCGGAUCUAUGGCGAGACUAGCGAACGCUUUAACCACUAGGCUACCCCACCGCUCCUUGGACUGGGUGAAAUGGGAAAUGAUACAGGUUUAAUAAGGCGCUGCAUUGUCCACGGGCAGUGGCUGGUCUGACGGCCAACGAGAUCUUACAACCAGCUGACACGUCCACGGCAGAUUGUGAAGUCAGCUUGAGUCGUCCCUGGACUGUCCAAUGUGCACCCUACUGUGGGAGCGGUCUGCAGCAGCAAAUAUACCUCUUCGUCGUCAUCAACGCCAGUUGCUGCAACAUACAGCGCGUCGCCAUCAACACCACAACGUUCUCGGCGGCGACCGAUGUUAGACGUGCUGAAGAACUAAACGGAACGCUGAGCAUUUUGUGUGGCGAAUACAGGCCAUUCAUAAGUGGUCUGUUGGUCAUUCCCGGCGAUUUCUGUGGGGCCAACCACUCCAUCUUGCCCGACAUCACUGUUACAUUGUUCGACAGGUGUGGCAGUCGGAACCACUGCUGCCAAGAAGAUGAGGUUCGCGUUAUAGGAUUUACCGAUGUGUAAGAGAAACACCACAACUGUCCCAUUUCAGACAUCCUGACCACGUUAUUUGAAAUUAUAGCCCACCUUCAUAUGUUUUAUUCUGUAUAAUGGCUUAUAUGACAAGUUUCUACCACGACAUUUUAGAACACUACAUACUGAUUGGUCCGCGAGCAUAAGACGAUGAUUUUGACAAUGGCUGCAUCACUGCGAAAGAAGGUAUUUAUUCAGAGGCACCUUCUUGAUGUACCUAUCCGGUUGGCAAGGGGAGAUACUGAUGUCAUUGCGGAAUGUCUUAGAUUAUUCAGAUCGAUCUAUCACGUACUUUGUCGCAGUAUCUUUCUUGCUCAGAGUUGCCUCCCUUAGCGUCCGAUAUGUAGAGUUACCGCCCUUAGUAUCCGUUGUUCGGAGUUGCCUCCCUUAGCAUCCUCUUCUCAGAGUUUCCUCCCUUAGCACCUGAUGUGCUUCGAACUCACUGGUCGUUUGUUCAUAUAACAAACGGACAUUAAUUAUCCUACAGCGUUAGUUCUUACUGUUAGGUAAAUCAGUACUAUCAAAAUCCCAUUUUUAAUGAAUGAUAUCAUAGCUAUGUUGUAAAUCAAUACUAGAAGGACUACGUAUUUCGAAAUCAGCGGCAUAACACAGUUGUACAUCAGUAAUAUUACGGUUUCGAAUACAUUGUAUGUUACGCUAUUGCAAAUUAGGGGUAUCAUUGCACCUCAGUAAAUGAGCGAUACCAUUACACUAUUACCCAAGACGAUCCGGGUUAGAAUUGGUCUUCAGCAACCCAUGCUUGUUGUAAGAGGCGAUUAACGGGAUCGGGUGGCCAGACUCGCUAAUUUGGAUGACUCAUGUCAGUGUAUGAAA